rnacentral:lncRNA from 1 species
GUUGGGCUUCCGGGCAUUUCACAACGCCUUUUGCCUUUGCAAGAUAUUCCGAAUGACGAAUGCAGCAGAGGCAGAGUACUGCAGAUUGUUCCACUCCCAUAGAUAGAGCAGUCCACCUAAAGAGGAAACAUAACAACAUUGUUCAAGGAUGGACGUUUCAUGCAAGAAUGAUGAUUGAAAAGGUUAAAAUCGAGGUGCUGCUACUGCUACUAACCAGGAGUCAUGGGCACAUUGUAGCUGUCGUUCUUCUGCAUGCAGGCGCAGGUGAAGUAAUCAGCCUUGGCUUGGUAUUGCUGCAAUGUGGAAGUGUAUGCUCCUCCACCUCCAUGCAUCAACACCUACACACAUUUCAGACCGAGAAGGUUACAAUUUUUUCGACUAAUUUACCUUAAAAGUAGGAAAGUAGGAGCCAUUUUUUCUAGAUUUUGUGCUGCAUUACCUUUAAGAGAAGAAUCUGAACUCCAGUAUACUUGUUGUCCCAAGAGAACUCCUUCACAGCUCAUUAGUUUUGCUUAAGCUAGUAUUUCAUAUCCUAAAACUAUAUUCAUUUGCUUAAGCUAGUAUUACAUAGUGCGAGAGAGCAAAAUUUUGAAGAUUACAACUUUUCAACCAAAGCCCCCAUCAAAACAAGACAAAGUCAAAACAUGCAAUUCUUGCACAAAAAAUAAAAAAUAAACCAUCAAUAAAUCAAGAAUUACAACAAGGCUGCAGCAAACAAAUAAAAUUCCAUCAAUACACCUAACUCAAUAACCCCAUCACAAAUCAAAUCAAAACAAAACCGAUCAAAAACAGCAUCCAUUUUCACGCAAAACCCACAAGAAACAGCAAACAUAAAAAUAACAUUAGACUAAAUAAUAGUCUUGCCUUACCAAAGCUAGCAAACAGGCCCUAGUAAGAUUUGUUUUUUUUUUUUUUUUAUUAAUAUUAUUAUUAUUAUUAUUUUCGAAAGGAACAAAUAGUAGUACGAUUUAAUUGUUUAAGAUGGAGCAGCAAAAACAAAGACAUAAAUAGCCACAGAUUCCCGGAAUCAAACUCACAAGUUCAAGAAAUCAACUACGACAAGCUUAAAACACUAGCAAAUACUUAGAUAGGCCAUCCUAUCUAUUGGGGCGCGCUCCAGUGAGACCCCCUAUUUUUCGUGAGACACUAAGUACAAUGAAUAAAACAUAUAUACUGAUGAACAAGAGCCACAAGACAAUAUAUACUGAUGAAUAACAAAAUUUAAAAAAUUGGUAAUGAAUAAGACAUAUAAAUUGAUGAACAAGGCAGUAUAUACUGAUGAAUAACGAAAUUUAAAAUAUUUCACUCCCUCCACAAUUCGAAUCCUAAGAAAAAAAAUUCUCUCUCUAGAUACAAUAUCAGCCAUAGAAUUGAUAAAAUAAACGCACGAGAUCGUGCCUCGGGUCUCACCAAAUAUAGGGGGUGUGGGUUAGAAUAAAAACACUCUUAAGUGUAUAUAAUAUAAACGUUUCUUAAUGUACGAAUUUUAUGUAGACCACAUAUGAAUUUAUCCAACAGAGUUACGAAUUGCGAAAAAUAAAUUUUAGUUACCUUUGAGAUUCGAACUCAGGACCACGAAUUCAUCCAACAGGGUUACGAAUCAACCGAUGAUCUAAAGGCUGAAAAUCAUUUAUAUUUUAUACACUUAAGAGUGUUUUUAUUCUAGCCUCCCCUAUAUAUAUAUAUAUAUCCUUAUGAUUAGGAUUUCUCUAAUACCAUCCUAUUAAUGAUAUAUGAAUCACACAAAAUUAAUUCAAAUGAUAGAACUGAUAAACGACUAUCCUAAAAUUCCAAUCAAUCUUAUCUUAGUAGACAAUAUAUUAGCCUAUACUAUUUUUAUUCUAGAUUCAUCCUCAAAAAUAAACUUGCUCUAGAAAGUUAAAUUAGAUUGCGAAUGCAUAAAUUGCAGAGAGUAAUCAAAAUGAGAAGCCAAAUCAAUUCAAAUUUGAACUUGAAUUUCUAUCCACAACAAAUCAAAAAAUAGGAGUUAUACUGACUUCAUCUUGGCGACAGUGNUCCACAGGGUCUCGGGUCCAGAUCCGGAUCCAACUUUUUGUCUCUAAAUUAAAUUUAUAAAUCUUAAAUUAAUCCCCAAAUAAAUUAUACUUAUUGUCUAGAUUUUCAACAAUUAUUCAAAAUAAAUGAAUUAACCAUAUUCUAUAAAAAUAUUAUCGAAGUUUAAUAACAAUAAGAAUAUAAUAAUCAAGUACUAAAUAACAGUGGAACAAUGUGUCCUCUAUUUUACAUAGAAAAAAGAAAAUUAAUGUUAUCAAUAAUAAUAAUAAUAAUAAUAAUGAAAACUAAAAUUUAAAUUAAAAUAAAAGUAAAAUAUUAUCUUUAAUUGCAUUAUAUAUUUAUUUAUGAAAAGAGAUAUAUAGAUUAGUCAUAGAUAUUAGAUUAGAGUUAGAUAAAAAUAAAUAAAAUUAUAUAUAUUUUUAUAUAUAAAUGGAUCCAUGGACCGGAUCUGGACCGGAUCUGGGUCUCAGAUUUUUUGCUCCAGAUCCAGAUCCGGAAAUUAUAGGAAUAACCCAGAUCCGGUCCAGAUCCAUUGGGUCCAUUUUUCCUAAGGUCCAGAUCCUAAAAAAUGGAUAUGGAUCUGCGGAUCUGGACCGGGUCCAGGAUCCAUUGCCAUCUCUACCCUCCAGUCACGAUUGGAUGGAUAAAGAAUUUUCGUGCUUUCUAGGUGACCAUCUUAGGAGAAUGAACUAGAUGACCACCUACAGAUGCUUCUUGAAACAAAUCAUAGACAAGAUUACAUUUGCUUGUACCACGCCUCAAAUCCUUGAAUACACCCCACUGCAGAACCAAGGAGGGAGAUGAACAUGGACCGGAUAGUUGUCCCCACAGCCCACGACAUAGCUCAAGUUCUUGGGAUUCUUGCCAAGAAUGUAAUCAGCCUUCCAAAGAUUGGAUUUUUCAGUAGCAAAUUAAGCACAAACAAGCAAGAAGAAGAUGAUUGAUAUAUAUAUACAUGUGAUUUUGCAAAGAUGAGAAGAUCUCGAGGCUGGAGUUGGGCUUCCGGGCAUUUCACAACGCCUUUUGCCUUUGCAAGAUAUUCCGAAUGACGAAUGCAGCAGAGGCAGAGUACUGCAGAUUGUUCCACUCCCGUAGAUAGAGCAGUCCACCUAAAGAGGAAACAUAACAACAUUGUUCAAGGAUGGACGUUUCAUGCAAGAAUGAUGAUUGAAAAGGUUAAAAUCGAGGUGCUGCUACUGCUACUAACCAGGAGUCAUGGGCACAUUGUAGCUGUCAUUCUUCUGCAUGCAGGCGCAGGUGAAGUAAUCAGCCUUGGCUUGGUAUUGCUGCAAUGUGGAAGUGUAUGCUCCUCCACCUCCAUC